rnacentral:lncRNA from 1 species
CCUGCUUCCUACAGUUCAGUUUGGUCUUUUAAAUCAGAUAAAAUGAGUAUUUGAGUUUCUCUGUGUUCAUGUUUACAUUUUGCUCUUGACAAAACAUUAUUUCUCACUUCUGUGAAAAUCAGACUAAAGAGAUUUCUUCUACAUUGCCGUGCUCUUAAAAACACCAUUUAGACAAAUAUUAACUUUUCCUUCCAAAAUACAAGACUGGUUUUAUUCUUUCAUGGUUCUACAGUCCAACAUAAUCUAUGAAUGAUUCAGAAGGAAGUAUUUUUACUAAAUUUACAUUUCCUUGUAUUAACUUUUAUGAAAAAUGGCACAGCCAGACAACUCAACAUUCAAUUUUGUACAAUCUGGAAGGACACGGUACCUGUAUGGAAUGGACAGGAAUCACUUUCUCCAGCAUGCAUUGUACUGAACACCGCUGCCUGUCGACACCUAUGGGAGUGCUGUGAUCUCAGGCAUUUGCGGGGGCUUCCUGUGGCCCAGAAGAAUUUGGAUACAUGAGCUGCAAAGACAUCAUCUUGAAUGGCCAAAGUUUACUGCCACUUGAAACAAGCAAAAGGAACCAAGAAUUCCUAAGGCUUCCACUUUUCUCUCUUCGAGUGUUUCCAAGCAAUACGAAUGCUGGGAUUUUAGGAAGUUGGAAAGAGACUCCGUGAACCAACAAGGAAACUAAGUUUGCGCUUUGCUAGUAGGACCGACUUCUGAAGCUGGGCUUUCCAUUGUCCCCAAGACACUGUCUUCAGCUCAGCUUCCAAAGUGACCCUCUUAGAACAUGAGUGGGGCUGGGCCUUUGCUUCUGGGUCAAUACCGAAUUCCUAAGCCCGGUUCCCAGCCAUGGUCUAAUUCUCUGCCACUUCCGGGGGUGCACUUCCUUCAACCCCACCAGCCUCUCUGGCCCUUCAAAUGCUUUCAGGUCUCUGUGCCUUAGGGUGCUGUUCUCUGGGUCUCCCCUGCACACUUCCCUCUGGGGUCUCCUCUCCUGUGAGGCCUUCUCUAACCUUCUGCACAGGCUUUGCAAUUCCCUUCUUUCACCAUGCAUAACACUGGGAUUAUGAACACCUCAGAAAGAGGUGGUAUUUUAUUUAAUUUUGUAUUUCUAGGACUUGUCUGGAGAAGAGCACCUAGACAAUGGUUCAAGAAUGCAAAAAGGAAACCUGAGGAUUAUUGUCUACUAUUUUCCUGCAUAACUACUUUCCCAGUAAUUCAAUGUUUAAGUAAAAAUUUACCAUGUAAGAUUAUAUUCAGAGUGGAUCAACCAUUUUGCCUGUAAUCACUGCCUUGAGGGAGGCUGAGGUAGGAGGAUCACAAGUUUAAGUCCUGGCUAGAUAACUUAGCAAGAUUCUAUCUCAAAAUAAAAACCAGGAGGCAGAUGUAACCUAGUGCUGGAGUGUCCCAUGGUGAGGUCCCAGCACAGGAGGAGAGAGCUCAACCACUGACCACAUUCAGUUUGGAAGCAUCAAGGUAAGCAGAAACGAAAUUGGAAGGGCCAAUGAAAUCUGGGCUCCUCUCCCACUGGCCCCCCACAUUCUGUGACCCCUCAGUCAGUUGUCCUUGGGCACCUUAGUUUUUUCCUUAUCUGUAAAAGGGGGCUGAGCAGGAGCCAUUACUCUGAGACAGACUACUCAGCUCCAAGCAUCAACCAAGUCAAAGAAAUGGCAGUGCUGCGCGGAUCUCUAGGCUGUGUAGCCCAACCUUCUCCCUGGAUUCAGGGCCCUCCGAUCAUCCCUUCUGGGGUGGCCGCUGGCAGCCUUCCUGGCCCUUAGCUCCUCUGUCCCUACACUCAGCUCCGGGGCAUUGCUCCCAGGAAGUUCUCUUCCCCAAGUAAAAGCUGCAUUCUUUGUGACUUAGCUCCCCCAAGUCACAAGAAAAAGUCAGUUCCAGGUGCACUUCAGUCCUGGUGAGCCGGCGUCACAGCCCUCCACAGCCUGACCUCCGGAUUAAAAGCCUAGACUCCUUCACACAAGGCUCACAGGUCACCAGUGCCCUCAAGGUUCUGACCAGGGACCUUAGAAGGCGCUUUGUGGACCCGUAUGGAGGCCCCUCUAGGAGACAGCGGAUGAGGGGCAGGCAAACCCCAGGCAGCCCCGGCUUUCCUCAGGGGUGACACCACCUGUCUCCCCUCACCGCCCAACGGCAAGCUUAGAUUCUGCCCUAGAAGCCUGCUGGCUCAAGUUGCCUUUGUGGUUAGUUGAUAGUUGGAGUAUUUCAUAGUUUAAGAUAAAAAUAACUUUAAGAUCUUGUGUCAAUCUAAGUUACCGUCUUUGCACUUACUCAUGCAAUUCAUUUUCCGACUUUACUGGACGUGCUUCCAUUUAUCUAUAUAGGUUCAGCCCUUAAAUACCGCAGCGCUCCCAGGAGUCGCUGUGCGGAGCAGGACCAAGGGUCAUGCACGGUCUCAGGCAGAGGUAUCGGACCAGAACCAUUGUCAGGCACCGUUUAACCAGCCGUUCUCUGGUCUUGGUGGCCUGGCCAGCUGAUGCCUGCCUUGGACACCUGUUCUGGCUUCAUUUCCUGCAUGCCUCCUCCUCUCUACAGUAAUGAGCGCUUUCUAGCUUUUCCUUCCUUUGGUACCAAAAUCAACAGUCAGGAAUAACACUGAUAAUCAGCCUUAGCGGGCAAACAAAUACCGCCCUGGGAAAGCCCUGUAUUCCCUCGUUACAAGGAAACCAAGAGUGUAUUUGUUAGUCUAAAUUCUGCUCUGUCUUGUAAAAUCUCACCGGUGAAGAUCUGAUUUACUAAUUUUAAUUCCAAUAUAGCCA